GACGAACGCUGGCGGCGUGCUUAACACAUGCAAGUCGAACGGAAAGGCCUGCUUUCCCUUGUGGAUUGCGGGUACUCGAGUGGCGAACGGGUGAGUAACACGUGAGUGAUCUGCCCCCAACUUGGGUAUAAGCCUGGGAAACUGGGUCUAAUUCCCGAUAGGACUGCAGGGUGGUGCCUGUGGUGGAAAACGAUUUUCUAGUGGUUGGGGAUGAGCUCGCGGCCUAUCAGCUUGUUGGUGGGGUAAUGGCCUACCAAGGCGGCGACGGGUAGCCGGCCUGAGAGGGUGGACGGCCACAUUGGGACUGAGAUACGGCCCAGACUCCUACGGGAGGCAGCAGUGGGGAAUAGUGCACAAUGGGCGGAAGCCUGAUGCAGCGACGCCGCGUGGGGGAUGACGGCCUUCGGGUUGUAAACUCCUUUCGACCGCGAGGAAGCCACCUGGUUGGAAGGGUGGUGACGGUAGUGGUAGAAGAAGCACCGGCUAACUACGUGC
rnacentral:rRNA from 1 species